rnacentral:rRNA from 1 species
UACAGAGGUCUCAAGCGUUGUUCGGAUUCAUUGGGCGUAAAGGGUGCGUAGGUGGCGCUGUAAGUCGGGUGUGAAAUUUCGGAGCUUAACUCCGAAACUGCAUUCGAUACUGCGAUGCUUGAGGACUGGAGAGGAGACUGGAAUUCAUGGUGUAGCAGUGAAAUGCGUAGAGAUCAGGAGGAAGACCAGUGGCGAAGGCGGGUCUCUGGACAGUUCCUGACACUGAGGCACGAAGGCCAGGGGAGCGAACGGG